rnacentral:rRNA from 1 species
CUACGGGGGGCUGCAGUGGGGAAUAUUGCACAAUGGACGAAAGUCUGAUGCAGCAACGCCGCGUGGAGGAUGACACAUUUCGGUGCGUAAACUCCUUUUAUAUAAGAAGAUAAUGACGGUAUUAUAUGAAUAAGCACCGGCUAACUCCGUGCCAGCAGCCGCGGUAAUACGGAGGGUGCAAGCGUUACUCGGAAUCACUGGGCGUAAAGAGCGUGUAGGCGGAUAGAUAAGUUGGAAGUGAAAUCCUAUGGCUCAACCAUAGAACUGCUUCCAAAACUGUCUAUCUAGAAUAUGGGAGAGGUAGAUGGAAUUUCUGGUGUAGGGGUAAAAUCCGUAGAGAUCAGAAGGAAUACCGAUUGCGAAGGCGAUCUACUGGAACAUUAUUGACGCUGAGACGCGAAAGCGUGGGGAGCAAACAGGAUUAGAUACCCGGGUAGUC